UCAAAAAGAAGGAACUAAUCCUUAUUUUGCUCAUCAUCAUGUAUUGGUGCUAGUUCUGUAAGUGACUCAACAAUGCAUUUGACAGUUGUGCCUAGUCUAGCAUCACAAACCCCUACUUUUAUUGGUUUGAAUUUCUGAUAAAAGUCAUUUCUGUCAAGAACCAUGGCUCUGGAAGGGAUUUGUUUUUAUUUACAUGAUUGGAUUGUAGCAUUUUUAUUUUCUACAUGAUCGGGUCGUAGCAUGAGUUACAAAAGAAGUAAACAUUCCAGGCUAGUCCUUGAUUUUACACAUGCAGAAUCUGGUAUUGGUUGGAUUAACUCCAUGUUGUUUCUUCUAAUUUGCAG
rnacentral:misc_RNA from 1 species